CGCCUCUCAGGGUUGCACCUGGUGAGUUUCCAGUACUCUACCAGUAUCGGCAAUGGGAGGGAGAGUCAGGCAGAGGUAUACCCAUUCCAUUCCUAGCUUGGGCAGUGGCUAGAGAGUGGAAAGCAAUCUGCUACAAGU